rnacentral:lncRNA from 1 species
AAACAUCAAGGCCAACCUUAAUAAUAUUAAGAUUAAUAAUAUGACAAGCACAAUACUAAUGCAAAAAUAGUUUUCCAACUAACCAGACAGUAAAGAACUAAGCUCAGCAAUGGCGGCAGGAUUUGCUGAUGCAUUAUCCAAUGUAACAGAAACGAUCUUAUUAGUUAAACUAUAAUCAGAAACAACAGAAGUAAUACGCUCAGCAAUAUUAUCAUCAUUAUGAGAUAUAUCAAUUAAACAAGACCUAAUAUCCUCUUCUCUAGUUG